GGUUUCGUAGUGUAGUGGUUAUCACGCUCGCUUCGCACUUGAGAGGUCCUGGGUUCAAGCCCCAGCGGAACCA